rnacentral:rRNA from 1 species
UACGAAGGGGGCUAGCGUUGCUCGGAAUCACUGGGCGUAAAGCGCACGUAGGCGGCUUUCUAAGUCAGGGGUGAAAUCCUGGAGCUCAACUCCAGAACUGCCUUUGAUACUGGAGAGCUUGAGUCCGGAAGAGGUGAGUGGAACUCCGAGUGUAGAGGUGAAAUUCGUAGAUAUUCGGAAGAACACCAGUGGCGAAGGCGGCUCACUGGUCCGGUACUGACGCUGAGGUGCGAAAAGCGUGGGGGAGCAAACAGG